rnacentral:lncRNA from 1 species
GUGAUUCUUAGAGCUCAAAAUUGUUGUAAAGGCCAAAAGUUCUUCUCCCUCUUUUCUUCCAAGUUCUGAGUUGUAAAGAGAGGAGAGAAAAUUCUGUAAGGGUUGUCUCCUAAGCCUGUCAAAAGGAGUGAAACUGUAAAAGGGUGGUUGGCCUUCGCCUAUUGAAGGAAGGCCUCUAGUUGACGUCGGUGACCUCGUCGG